rnacentral:rRNA from 1 species
AUUGAACGCUGGCGGCAGGCCUAACACAUGCAAGUCGAACGAGUGGCGGACGUGUGAGUAAUGUCUGGGAAACUGCCCGAUGGGGGGGGAUCUCUUCUGAACACGGUAUCUAAUACCGCAUACCAUCGGAUGUGCCCAGAUGGGAUUAGCUAGUAGGUGGGGUAACGGCUCACCUAGGCGACGAUCCCUAGCUGGUCUGAGAGGAUGACCAGCCACACUGGGACUGAGACACGGUCCAGACUCCUACGGGAGGCAGCAGUGGGGAAUAUUGCACAAUGGGCGCAAGCCUGAUGCAGCCAUGCCGCGUGUAUGAAGAAGGCCUUAGGGUUGUAAAGUACUUUCAGCGGGGAGGCGUUACUCGCAGAAGAAGCACCGGCUAACUCCGUGCCAGCAGCCGCGGUAAUUC